rnacentral:rRNA from 1 species
UACGGAGGGGGCUAGCGUUAUUCGGAAUUACUGGGCGUAAAGCGCACGUAGGCGGCUUUGUAAGUUAGAGGUGAAAGCCUGGAGCUCAACUCCAGAAUUGCCUUUAAGACUGCAUCGCUUGAAUCCAAGAGAGGUGAGUGGAAUUCCGAGUGUAGAGGUGAAAUUCGUAGAUAUUCGGAAGAACACCAGUGGCGAAGGCGGCUCACUGGCUUGGUAUUGACGCUGAGGUGCGAAAGCGUGGGGAGCAAACAGG